rnacentral:rRNA from 1 species
GUGGGGAAUCUUGCGCAAUGGGCGAAAGCCUGACGCAGCCAUGCCGCGUGAAUGAUGAAGGUCUUAGGAUUGUAAAAUUCUUUCACCGGGGACGAUAAUGACGGUACCCGGAGAAGAAGCUCCGGCUAACUUCGUGCCAGCAGCCGCGGUAAUACGAAGGGGGCUAGCGUUGCUCGGAAUUACUGGGCGUAAAGGGCGCGUAGGCGGACAGCUUAGUCAGAGGUGAAAGCCCAGGGCUCAACCUUGGAAUUGCCUUUGAUACUGGCUGUCUUGAGUUUGGGAGAGGUGAGUGGAACUCCGAGUGUAGAGGUGAAAUUCGUAGAUAUUCGGAAGAACACCAGUGGCGAAGGCGACUCACUGGCCCGUUACUGACGCUGAGGCGCGAAAGCGUGGGGAGCAAACAGGAUUAGAAACCCGGGUAGUCC